UACGUAGGGGGCGAGCGUUGUCCGGAGUUACUGGGCGUAAAGGGCAUGCAGGCGGUCUCUUAAGUUCGGAGUGACAGUCGUCGGCUUAACUGACGAAGGCCUUGGAAGACUGAGAGACUUGAGGGCUCAAGAGGGACACGGAAUUCCGGGUGUAGUGGUGAAAUGCGUAGAUAUCCGGAGGAACACCAAAGGCGUAGGCAGUGUCCUGGGGAGUCGCUGACGCUCAGAUGCGAAAGCCAGGGGAGCGAACGGG
rnacentral:rRNA from 1 species